GGGAAUGUAGCUUAGUGGUAGAGUGCUUGCCUAGCAUGCAUGAAGCCCUGGAUUCGAUUCCUCAGUACCA
rnacentral:tRNA from 1 species